CUCACUGUUCAACUUCCUAUACUCAAAAAAUUGUCGAUCACUAUUCACCAUUCAUCGUCUGUUCAUCUUUCGGUCAACAUUUUUCUCCCUUACACAGCCUUUCAUCUUCCGAUCGCCCAUUCAUCUUCAUCGACCAUCAGUUUGUACGUUCAUCUUCUUCGCGCUACCGCUGUGUUUAUACAUAUCAAUCAAAAUUGCUAGUCAAGACAACAAAGAGGAAGAUAAACUUCAAAAUAGGUGAAAGUUCAAAAACUAGAAAGAAAACAAAGGUAACGAGGUAAGUACUGUACUGAUACACUUAAUCCACUUUAUACGUUUUAUAUGUUUGAUACACUUGAUGUGAUGCUGAUACACUUGCUAUGGUUCACUGAUACACUUGAUGUGAUGCUGAUACACUUGCUAUGGUUCACUGAUACACUUGCUAUGGUUCACUGAUACACUUGCUAUUUUGAAUAACGAGUCAAGUAUUGUAAUGAUAAACUUAAUCACUUGAUAUGUUUAUAUGUUUGAUAUACUUGAUGUGAUGCUGGUACACUUGUCAUAGUUCACCGAUACACUCGAUGGAUUUAAUACAUUUUUUUUAACAUUUUUUGGUGUUGAGUGCUCAUAACUAUAUCUUAAAUUAUCAACCAUACAUUAGCUAAUAAAUUAUAAAGAUGCUUGUUUAUGAGAAGAACGGACAAUUAUGAAGCAAUUAUGAUCACUAAUGUACUUCUAAAUCAUCUAUAAUUCAGUACUUUUAUAACAUGAUGCUCUAACAAACCAAUGACAACCAUCUUGAGUAUAUUCCAACUCAAUAGAUCUUGAAUUGGAUCUCAAAGUCCUAAACUCAAAAUUAGACUUGACAACUAUAGAAAGAAAUGACUUCAACAAAAUUUCUUUACUACAAAACAAAUCCUCUACCUUAAAAGUCAACUCAUCUUUAAUAUUGGUAAUAUGAAUAUCUCUAAAAAUUGAUAAUUCAUCUCCCAAAUCAACCUCAACUAUGGAAUAAAAAGAAGAACCACCAAUUGAAACAUCCAAAACCGUUAUAGCAUGAGUGACUAAAGGAUAUUUGGUACAUUGAUCCUUAAUCAAUGUCAAAAAUCAAGAAACAUUUUUAUCUUCAACAAUCUUAAGGACAUGUUGAACAUCAUUACUAUCUAUAUCCAACAAAACUGAAAGUUCAAUAGAUGACUCAAUUUAAAGUUCUUUAUGUAUCAAGGUAACAAAAGAAUCAAAUAUCAUCCCACCAUCAAUCAAAAGAUAAUUAGUUUUAUAAUCCACAAAACACAUUCUAUCAUCCCAUUGACCACUAUGAAAAACAAUUACUGGAAGAUUAAUCAUAAGUACAACAAAUUGCAAAAAAUAUAAAAAUUAAAAUCGGUUAUAACUAAAAAUUUGAAAAUAAAUAUAUCAGUUCACUAAUACAUGUAAUAUAAAUAUAGCAUGCCCCUAAAAUACUAUAUAAAAAUGAAACAAAACCAAUGUAAAAAAUAGAACAAAAUCAAUGUUAAAAACAUCUGAAAUCAAAAUCAACUCUAAAAUUCACAUGGAGAAAAAAAAAAGAACAACCAAACACUCAGUUGAGUUCCUCAGAUCACCACCCAUUAUAUGAAAAGAAAUAUAUAUAUCUCAACUUUCAAUUAAAUGCAAACGAUUUAAGACAAAAUCAGAAAUCCAACUUCAUAUAAACACGAACGAUUCCUACACAAGAAGAAGAAGAAUAAGAACAAGAAUAAGAAGAACAAGAACAAGAAAUUGUGGAUGGCUAAUCUCAAUACUUUAACUUCAAAACCAGAGAAAAUAAAACAAAACAAUCGAAUCCUAAAUAGUUGAAAACAAGAAAAAUUGAACUCUAAAAAUCGCAAGAACGAAAUCAAAAUCAGUAACCAUUUAGGAUGAAAUCAAAAUUAGAAAUCGAACUACAUGCAUAAACACAAAAAACUUAGAUUCAAAUGUGUUUCAGAGAGAGAAAAGAAAGAAACUAAGAAAGAAAGAGAAAGAACACGUUCGUGAAGAAAAAAGAACUUGGGUAGUUUAAGAAUAAUAAAAAAUUCAAAAUAGAAAAUAUCUCAAACGUAUUUGAUAUUUGCCAUAUUUGAAAAGUUUAUAAAGUGGGAGCCAUAAUUGCUAAACCUUGUUUUUGUAUUGCUACCCAAUACAAUUUUUCUAUCAAUAAGUCCAAAGAUCGAUCUAGUAUAUAGGAAAUCAACAAGCCAAGGGACCAUCUAGCAUACAAGAUCAAGAAGCUCAAUAGUCGAUCUAGUGUACAAGAUCAAUAGGGAAACUAGAUAAUGUAGCAAAAUUUGAGGAUUCAUUUGGAUAUAUAGCAAAAAUCAAGAACAAUAAGAAUUUUAGCAAACCAACUGUACAACAUGUGUUCCAUCUUCCUUUAUUCCAAGAUUGCCCUUAAUGGGUUUCAAAAGUACCCCCAACAUAAGUUAACGGAUUUGAAUGACAAUGUUCCAUAUAUUUUUCUCUUUAGUUAGAUUUGAAUUUCAAAUUUUAAUGU